ensembl:lncRNA
CAAAAUAAUAGCAGUAUAAUGUGACUAACCAGAAUAAUCAAGGUUUUUCGUAUAUUUUUUUAUUGCUACGUGGCAAACAAGUUACCAGUAGGUUCAGUAGAUUGUCAGAAAACAAAUGAGACCCAGCAUUCAUGAUAUGCACACUCUUAAGGCUGUGCAAUUGGGCAAUUAGUUGAAUUAGUUGAAAGGGGUGUGUUCAAAAAAAUAGCAGUGUGGCAUUCAAUCACUGAGGUCAUCAAUUUUGUGAAGAAACAUGUGAGAAUCAGGUGGCCCCUAUUUAAGGAUGAAGCCAACACUUGUUGAACAUGCAUUUGAAAGCUGAGGAAAAUGGGUCGUUCAAGACAUUGUUCAGAAGAACAGCGUACUUUGAUUAAAAAGUUGAUUAGAGAGAGGAAAACCUAUAAAGAGGUGCAAAAAAUGAUAGGCUGUUCAGCUAAAAUGAUCUCCAAUGCCUUAAAAUGGAGAGCAAAACCAGAGAGACGUGGAAGAAAACGGAAGACAACCAUCAAAAUGGAUAGAAGAAUAACCAGAAUGGCAAAGGCUCAGCCAAUGAUCACCUCCAGGAUGAUCAAAGACAGUCUGGUUAUUCUUCUAUCCAUUUUGAUGGUUGUCUUCCGUUUUCUUCCACGUCUCUCUGGUUUUGCUCUCCAUUUUAAGGCAUUGGAGAUCAUUUUAGCUGAACAGCCUAUCAUUUUUUGCACCUCUUUAUAGGUUUUCCCCUCUCUAAUCAACUUUUUAAUCAAAGUACGCUGUUCUUCUGAACAAUGUCUUGAACGACCCAUUUUCCUCAGCUUUCAAAUGCAUGUUCAACAAGUGUUGGCUUCAUCCUUAAAUAGGGGCCACCUGAUUCACACCUGUUUCUUCACAAAAUUGAUGACCUCAGUGAUUGAAUGCCACACUGCUAUUUUUUUGAACACACCCCUUUCAACUAAUUCAACUAAUUGCCCAAUUGCACAGCCUUAAGAGCGUGCAUAUCAUGAAUGCUGGGUCUCAUUUGUUUUCUGACAAUCUACUGAACCUACUGGUAACUUGUUUGCCACGUAGCAAUAAAAAAAAUAUACGAAAAACCUUGAUUAUUCUGGUUAGUCACAUUGUACUGCUAUUAUUUUGAACAAUACUGUAUUUAAAGAUUUGAUUAACACAUGAUAACACUGCAAAUCGUCCCAAUUUAUAUGGGAAACAUCUAAAUGUACCAAAAGGGAAUACGUUAUACAUUUAUAAACAUAAAAACAAAAAGGUAAUGAAUACAUUCCAUAGAAUGCAUUGGGGAAAAGAAACCAGUGAUUUGGCUUCUCUCCUCUCCUGUUUGUCCAGGGUGGUCGUAAAGUUUUACGACCUGCAAAAGUGGGGGUUACAUACACAUGACUAUUUGAGAAAAAGCCAGGCUGAGGAGAACAUUUCCUAAAGUAUAAGCUUAGCAACUUAUACUCUUCACAUAACAAGGAUUAACCAUUUUAUGCAAUCCAUAAACAUAUUUAUAAUACAUAUUAAUAAUAAAAUGAAAGUAAGGAACUUAUACAAAAGGUUUCCUUUGUCUCCAGUGUGUUGGAGGAAUUUGGGUUGGGGGUUUUCAUUUCUUCUUUGAGGCUCGCCCACGUGACUCUGGAAUUUCUUGUCGUAAAAUAAUUUAAGUCCAGCCAGGCUGGCGCCAGGCCCAGGCAUUCAGUGCAAAAAGAGUUUCAUUUGGAAAAUCUGAAUUAAACACAUGGAUCGAUGAUCUGCAUAUCCGUUACACACCAUACAGCCGUUAUCCAUUCCAAAGCUCUUCCCGUUAGUAGUGAGCAGACUAAGGCGAUCUUACCAGCAUCAGUAGUGUAAAGGGUGGGUUGUUGCUCGACGAACAGCGAGCAUUGCAGUAGGAAGCCCCUACACUUGGUAGAAUCCCCGUCAAAUUUCUCCGGGUAAGCCAGUCGUGGAUUAACUUGAGUUGGCAUUCCUGCCGCGUGGGUAAUGGCGGCAGCUGCCGAUGGUGGUGACAUUACGGCAGUGCUGUGGAGGCUUUGAACAGCCUUUACCAGUUCCUCUGUGAACGAAGACAAACGAUUCAGUUGAUGCUGAUUAGCAGCAAUUUGACUUGCCUGGGCUGCCAUUGUAGCACACAGAUGAUCGUAAGCCGCUUGAUUCGGUUGUGGCGAAGUCUUCUGUAAUGAGUCAUUACCAGACGGGGAAUCCAUUUUGCAAGCUUUAAUAAACAACUCGUGGUUGUACAGGCAGGGGUCAGAACCAGCAAACACAACAGUAGAGAUAAUCAGAAUCGUCGUCCAACACAGGCAAUAGAUCGGGAUCACAGGCAAUGUUCAGAGUCCAAUAAACAAUCCAAGGUCAAGAGGCAGGCGGCAAAGGUUCAAGAAACGGCAAACAAACAGAACUGGUAAACGGGAAAUCAAAACACGGGAAAUAACGCUUGGAAAUGUCAGCCGGAGCAAAACAAGACUUUGCGUUAGACUGAUGUGGUUGUGCAGCUUAAAUAGCAGUACUCAUGAGCUGCACCUGGGUGGUGAUCAGAGUCCAAUGCACGGGGUAGAUGGGAAGUGUAGUUGUGAGAGAGUGCGUGAGUGUCAAUAUUCCGGAGAUGGGGCCCUCUGCUGGCCAGUAGAGGGAAUCACGGGGUUCGUCUCCGUUACACUAAUAAGUUAGAAUGUGUAAAUCAAAGCGAUUGUAACAGUCUGUUAUUUAACAGUCCAAGUGAUGUUUACAUUAUGC